UACGGGAGGCAGCAGUAGGGAAUUUUAGACAAUGGGGGAAACCCUGAUCUAGCCAUGCCGCGUGUGUGAUGAAGGCCUUAGGGUCGUAAAGCACUUUCGCCAGAGAUGAUAAUGACAGUAUCUGGUAAAGAAACCCCGGCUAACUACGUGCCAGCAGCCGCGGUAAU
rnacentral:rRNA from 1 species